CUACGGGGGGCAGCAGUGAGGAAUAUUGCACAAUGGGGGGAACCCUGAUGCAGCAACGCCGCGUGGAGGAUGACGCAUUUCGGUGUGUAAACUCCUUUUAUAUGUCAAGAAAAUGACGGUAGCAUAUGAAUAAGCACCGGCUAACUCCGUGCCAGCAGCCGCGGUAAUACGGAGGGUGCAAGCGUUACUCGGAAUCACUGGGCGUAAAGGACGCGUAGGCGGGUUGGAAAGUCAGGUGUGAAAUCCUACAGCUUAACUGGAGAACUGCACUUGAAGCUUCUAAUCUAGAGUAUGGGAGGGGGAGAUGGAAUUAGUGGUGUAGGGGUAAAAUCCGUAGAUAUCACUAGGAAUACCUAAAGCGAAGGCGAUCUCCUGGAACAUUACUGACGCUAAGGCGUGAAAGCGUGGGGAGCAAACAGGAUUAGAUACCCGCGUAGUC
rnacentral:rRNA from 1 species